UGGGGUUCUACUUUAAAGUCGUGGUCGUGGACAAUUUGGGAUUUAUUAAGGAAUUUUUGUAGUUGCUAGGCUGUGGUUCUAUGUGCUGAGGAGGGAGGCGUUGCUGCUCAUGCUGCUGUUGCUGGAGUCCUCACUUUAUUUGUUAAGACUAUGUAAUGACCGAAUGAUGUUAUUUGUUUGUGUCAUCCUUGACUCUUUACCUACCGCAUGUAAUCCUGCAAUCGGUACUUUUAAUGCUAUCGUUAUUAAAAACUGUUUACUCAUGUUUUAGCAAUAACCUAUCCUUAUUAGUCAAAGGGAGUAUUUAUCUACUUAUGACCACUCGCAUGUUGCUAUUUGGGUUUCAGGAUUAUACUUUCUGAAAUUCCUAUUCUCUGUACUGAGUGAAACUAAUAUACUGGGUUACCUGUAAAUCCUGUCAGUGUAACUUGAAAAGGAUUCUCAUCCUCCCAGAGAGAGUAAAUAGAGAUGGUGAAAUGUCAUCCUAGUUGUUAGGACGGAGCUCAUCAGAUCUUUUCCCCCUUUCACACCAUUUUGUUAGCGUUGUGCUUGAGUGAGAGGCUACUGAUAGCGCUGCUGACCCUUCCCAAACCUUGGACGCCUGCUGAACCUCGUCUGGUUGCAGCUGGGUGUUGUGCCGAUUCCAGCUUGGCCUGUGCUGGUUGCAGCAUCUCGGCCUGUCCCUGCAACCCUCUGCUUGCUGCCCCUUGCAGAACCUCGUCGUGUGCAGCUGGACGUUGUGCUGAUGCUUAACCUGUGCAGCUUGCAGCUGUGCUGGUUGCAGCAUCUCAGCUUGUCGCUUGCAGCUGGUUACAACAUCCCCCAUGACGUAGCAGUGGCUCAGGCGCUUUGCAGUAAAACUUCUCGCAGGGAAAAACCGCCACCGUUGCGGAUUCCUCCAGCAAAAAUUGUCGCCUGUCAAAGAAAAAAGCAGCAAUGUUGCGGAUCACUAGCAAAAUCAGUCACCCGUUCGAGCAAAAAAUGUCACCGGUCGCAGCAAAAUUGUCUGUCACAACAAAAAGCACCACCGAUCGACCUGGCGGUGUUAACCAAGCACAUGUUUGAUCCCUUUAACAUAAGGGGUAAGAGUCCGACGGUGUGCCAAUCAUCACCAUUAGCCACCUGGAAUGCGAGGAGGUAAUUUGUUGCCCAAAAUCUCAGGGUCCGCUUCCGUUGUACUUGUCCAUCGUGUUUAUCUUAAAGCUGGAUGCGAACUUGUAGCAGACGAUCUCGUACAUCAAGAUCCCUUCUUAGUUUGGCAUGAUGAUGUGCUAUUCGUGUCACCGGUUGUCCUGAUGUGACUCUUACAUGGCCAUCCUGCUGGAUCAUCGCCGUCUUCAGAUAUUCCAUCCCUUCUUGCUUGAACCUCCGCUUGUCCGGAUGCCCUUUUUGGGAACUGUGUCAUGACCAGGGCUCCCGCCGCUACCUGUAUAUCCUUAGCUGGAGUGUGAUAGGACUCUGGGCCCUCCUGGAUCAAUGGCGUUCACGAGCGCCUCUUUCACUCGUCUACUUUCCAUGGCUAGGGAGGCCUUGUCCUCUGCCGGCAUGGUCUUUCCGAUGGGAUGGCAAAACCGGAACAGCUCCUCGCUGCGUCCAGGCCCGCCGCCCUCCUCUCCAAGCGUCUCUUCUCCUUGGAAACCUUGACGAGAGCCGACAAGGCUUUCAUCCGGACUUCGUCUUGCUCCUCAUCUUCUAGGAUCGCUCCAUCAAGUGCUUCAAUAUCCCUAUCGCUAAAUUCUGACACCUCGUCGCUUUCCUCCUGGCUUGGAUCUAGCGUGUCUACUACAUAGCAGGACUGGACCGAGGUCGCCUGCCACGUGCAAAGAGGCACCACGGCUCAUGGUGGGCUAACUCCUCAUUCCCCUCGAGGAUGUUGGUGAGAUCUUCAACGUUGGCGAUUAAGUGGGUUGUGAGCAGAUCAAUUUUUUGGCAUGCUGCUCUUGGGCCUGGAAUGACGUCAGACCUUGGAGAAGGAGCUCGCCGCGUGAAUCCGCGACGUACUCUAGAUUGCUUAAUUGAACAAUCCAGCCUAGGGUGCAGCUCUCAACUUGGCCCAAGCGACCGGUCGAGUCGGCGACAAAGGUCAUGGCGCCGAAAAAGAAGAUUUGACCUGACGUGUAGAUCGUGUCGUCGUCAACUAGCGAUCCCAUCUGAUCACUAAGUUCACAGAUCCCUCAAUAGGGUAUCCUAGUGAGGUGAGUAAAUCAGGGGGGAAACAUGAGACAGAUUUACCCAGGUUCAGGCCCUUCUUACAAGGUAAAACCCUAUUGUGUUACGGUGUAGAAAGUACAUGUAUUACUCAAGGGAUUGUAUGUUUUCUAUCGACUAGCUCGACCCCGGCUUAUAUGAGAUAUCGGGGCCCCUAGAGUUACAUGGACCUAGUCGACUAUGCUGGUGGAGGGGAGUCCUUCAUGUCUCUGGCUUCCUUAUCUUAUGGGCUAAGGGAGAAGGAGGUCAAGAUGCACUGAUCAUCAAGGAAAAUAGAGCUAUGAAAGAUGGUGCAGGGGUAACCCUCUUCCGCCAUGAACGUCGUGGGUCAAAUGUAGAUGCUCACAAUAUAGAAAAAGCUCUAGUCUUAUCACCAGGUAGGCAUGUCUAGUUGCUUGAGCCCCCGGGCUACGUAAACUCUAUGAUUGAUUAUUAAAGCUCGGGUUUGUUAUUCUUAAAAAAUGUUUUGGAGCAUUGUUUUUCCCCAGGUCUCCACGAAUGUCAUUCCAUCGCGAAAAUUUGCACGCAUGUGAAAUAUACAUCGAUGUUUGUUGCUAAAAAAAUUCAGAUUUUUUUUAUUUUUUACAAAUUUUUCUUACUGUUCCAAAUGGUAUAUGUGAGCUCGUGCUCACAAACUUCAUGUCCCAUUCUAACAAAUCAACUCUCAGGUUGCAAAAAAAACCCCAUUUACGUUGAUUUCUUCCUCUGUGAAUUGAGUGUUCCAAAUAAUAGACAACUCUACAUUUGGUCUUAUAGGAAUGAUAAUAGAUGGGAGUACAUCUCUUCAGAAUACUACUAGGAAAGGAGCACAUGUGUUGCAACGGGGUAAUUAAAUUAUGGUCUUCAAAUUGAGUGACCCAUAACAUAAUACCUAUAAUGAUUACAAAUAAUAUACAACUCACACUGUUAAUUCAAAUCAAUAACAAGGUAUGAGGUCAAUGAACCAAAAUGAAUCAAACAGAUUAAGUGGUCGAUAUGUAUAAGGUCAAUGAAACCAUCGAGAGUGACAACUACAAGCUCAACGCACCGUGAGGCUUGAGUUCUCUUAUUUAUUGCAGACAUGUGUAGCUACUAACAUAAUUAGGCCAUCGUUAUUAGGGGUAGUAGUGCAUAGUCUUCUUCAUAGAUUGUGAUUUUGUGAAAUACUCUCGCAGUACAUUGUCUUGUUACACCAUCCUGUGCCGUCGUCAAGUCCUAAUCGGAAGCAAUGUUCAGCUGAUAAGAGCUCUACGAGAAAGUAAUGACAAUCAAGCUGGCAUUGUAUUGGUGCUCAUAAAUCACACAUACAGUUGGCCUCUCCACACAAAUAUGCAGGACACAAAAAACAAGUGCUAUCAUUAAUUGACUACUGGAUACUAGUUUGUAUACAAUAAAUCAGUAUAAAAAAACACAGGCAAGUGGAGAAAAUAUGAAGCUAUGUUGUUGCUCCUCCUCACUAACAUUGGUGACUUGGCUGUCUUCAUUUAGAUUUCCCAAGAUAAUUUCUGAUGGCCCUUCUGAUGCACCAACUCAAAAUUACAAGAAAUACCACAUCCUUCUGCUUGUCGGUCUCGGAAUUGGUGCAACUCCUUUCGUCAGCAUACUGAAGGAUGUCCUUAACAACAUAAAGUCCAAUAAAGUAACAUAGUCACUGAAUGUUCUUCCUCAUACAUGAGUAGAGAUGCACAAUGGCUAAAAUGAAUUGGAUUCUACAAGAGCAGCAAAGCAUGCAUGACGUCGAGUUAGGCAGCACCUUCAACUUCAAGGGCAACGUGCCAAGCCGAGCAUACAUGUAUUGGGUUACCACUUACCAGAGACCAAGCGGCUCGUUUGAACGGUUCAGAGGUGUCAUAGGUGAAGUUGCUGAAAGUGAUAACGGUGUACUAGUCAGCCGUAACAGUUUCAGAUACACCAUGGUUGCCUGCAAAAAGUUUCAGAUACAUCAUGGUUAAUUGCUUGCUUCCUUUCCUAACUGCUACUUCAAGAUCUGCACACACUUUGCAAGGCCAAACUGAAGAAAGGUUAGUCACAUUUGAUUAUUACUACAGUAUUAUUUUUGGCUGCGCGCCUGAUUAAAAUCUAAGUGACGAAUCCCACUUUAUACAUUACAAAAAAAGACACUGUAUACUAAGAUGACGCCGCAUAAGUCUGCAGGUGUUUUCACCCUCUGCCUCCUCCUCUUACCGGCUCUCAUCAGCGGCAUGCAAAAGGGGAGAGGCGGCUGUAGCGACGUAUCCCGGCCGGACCCGUGCGUGUUGGAGGCCUGGAAGGUGAUCGGAUCGGAUCUAGAGUCCGUGGAGGAGACUUGCUCGGAUACACAAACUUUGCACAGAGUUCCAUUACGAUUAAUGGGUGGCCUUGCCGGACCCGGACACGGGCUCCCCAUGAACCGCCCUCCUUUUGCCACAUAAAUAGGCUUCGAGCCCUCUACGGAAGCAUCCAAUCUCCCGGUCCUUCAAUCUCGCCGCUCCACCACUCCGCCGGCCGCCCGUGCUCCAUACGCCGUCGUACAAUCUCGCCGUUCUACCAACAUCGCCGGACCGCCGUGCUCCACCUGAGGUACGCCCGAUCUCGUGCCAAGCUGAAUUCUGUCCUGUCGAUGCUGAGAAGUCAUGAUCUUUCAUGUGUGUCUGCGCUCUGCAACCAUAGCUGCCAUCGUCAUUACCUUGCACCUAUACGGACAGUCUGCACUCUUUAGGCCUCAUAGAUUAGCCACAAAGUAGGCUAUACACACACUGGAGAGUAGGAGUACUUCAUAGUGGCGCCUGGUAGUUCCAAUAUCUGGAGAAAAUACCUGUCCAAUCUUCUGCUUUGGACUCUGCUUGAGUUCACUUUUCCAAAGCUCGCUACGGUACUGGAUACUGGAAGGCCAAUUUGGCUAAAGGCAGAGAAUAGUUCAAAAGAGAGAAUAUAUGCCAUGCUCUCUAUUACCUGAUCAGGUUUCAUCUUAAAUUGUGGUGAUUCUGUUCUAUGCAAUAUUAUUUGCUAUGUUCUGGCAUUGAUUCUCUGUUAUGGCUGACGCGUGUGUCAAGGCUAAUAAGAACUAUUUUUACCCAAUGGUAAAUUUACUGAACAAGCUCCUGUCUUAUCCCCAUCGUCUGUCUUAAGGCUAAUCUAUUCAUGGUUAGUUUUCCUUGCUGUACAAAGGUCAUCGUUCAUUCGCUCUUUUGUACUAUGUUCUUCUUCUCUUUCCUUUACAGUAAAACAUAGACCAUGCUUCCAUUGUUGCAACUUGCAACUAGUUCCAGGUUUGCUCGUGGGUGUCAUUUGAGGUCAGAGUAAAUAUUUUGGUAGUGUGCCAACUAUAGGCACACUCGGUCGAAAUCCAAAAAAUCCAGUAGCUUAUGCAGCCUAUAAUUAGCUUUUACAUAUUAAUUAGUAGCUGAUUUCUGUCAAAAUGAAUAGAUGGACACCCUCUAUUUACAAUAUUAUUAUAAUUUUCUCCCUGUUUGAUUGAACUCCAUGCUGAUUACACCUUCACACAAUAUAAGAUAUUGUUUGAGCAAUCUGACUGUGGGAUGUUCAGGUUGUUAUUGCAGAAAAUGAAUGACAGCGCUGACUUGACCAUUGUUGUGGAUUUUGAUAACCGACCUUCAAAAAAAGCCAAUUUUUCUGAAUCGGAUCUUUUGGAGCCAUCACCUACGUCACCAACCAUCUGACAUCAUCUCUGGUUUUUGAAUGUUUUGAAUCGAUUGUUCUGGAAUCAGAUAGAUGUUGAUCCAUUGCCAUGACCACCGUCACCAACCAGCUCGACAUUACCUCCAGUUUCUGAAUGUAUGAAUGAAAGAAAAGUUUAAUCGAUGAUGAUAAGUAACCAGAUGAAUAUGAACAAAUAAAAGUUGAUGAAACAUACAACUAGCUCCCACUAGAUAAUUGUUUGAUUUAUGAUGUGUACUUUUGUAUCUAGCAUCCUCCUUUUUAUUAUUUAAUAUUAUUAUUUGUGUAUGUGCACGGUUAAUCCAUAUUUACACAUGGAUUUAUUCGAUAUUUUUUCAAAUUAUUUUACUUUUUGCAGAUUAUGCACUGACCAACAGUGAUGUAUGUGCUCAUAUAUCAAUAGAAACAUCUUUUGAAAAAACGAUUACAGGUGAAGAUAGAUGAAAUAUCUGUCAAACAACAUCAAUUGGUGUGCGUGUUAGAUAAAAAAGGGUGGCUAAACGAUGAUGUAAGUACCCUUUCUUACAAGAAUGUCCAAUUAUUGAUAUCCAUUAGUAAUGUCUUUUUCAAAAUCUUUUUAUGUAAUCAGUGCAUAUGUAUGUUGUAUAGAGGACCAAGUACAUGUUCAAAAUGAUAGUAAAGUAUAUUUUCAGAAUCCUUUUGUUACCGCAUCGUUAAUACGGUAUGUCAACCUUGGUAUAUAUAUGAAGAUGGUACCUUUAUGAAAAAGAUUGUAAAAAACUAUGUGAAGCAUGACAUUGUAACAUCCAUAUCCUUUAUUUUCCAUGUUCCGGGUUUAAUACAUAUUUAUUAGUAAUUUUACUAAUUAUUUUGAUUAUAGAAUGAACUUCCAAUAAAUAUGAACAACACACAUUGCUAUUUAACUGUUGGGGACGCAAAAAAUUGUGAGAUUACAGUACUUGACUCAUUGUGUUGGGAGUUUGACCGAGAUGAUCUCACUAUUACGGUUGGUUACUACAUCACUAUUACGGUUAGUUACUACAUAACUAACCGUAAUAGUGAGAUCAUCUCAGUCAAACUCGCAACACAAUGAGUCGAGUACUUGAAUCUCACACUUUUGCAUUCACAACAGCUAAAUACCAAUGUGUGUUGUUCAUAUUUAUUGGAAGUUCAAUCUAUAAAUCAAGAUCAUCAGUAAAAUUAUGAAUAAAAGUGUAUGAAACACAAAACAUGAAAAUUAUGUAUAUGGAUGUUACCAUGUCAUGCUUCACGUAGUUUUUGACAAUCUCACCAUGUUCAUUUAUUCCAAGGUUGCCAUCAUGCUUUAACGGUGCAGUAACAAAAUGAUUCUCAAAAUAUACUUUACUAUCAUUCUGGACAUGCACUUGGUCUUGUAUACAAAGUUUGACUAAAUUUAUAUUAAAAAAUAUCAACAUCGUCUACAAUACUAAAGUUAUAUAGACGAAAAUUAAUUUUCAUCUAAUGCGUUUCGUAUUGUAAAUGUUGAUGUCUUUUCAUAUAAAAUUGGUCAAAAUUUACUAAGUUUGACUUCAAACAAAUUUCAUAUGCAAACUAAAAAGAAACA
rnacentral:lncRNA from 1 species